rnacentral:rRNA from 1 species
UACGGAGGAUGCGAGCGUUAUCCGGAAUGAUUGGGCGUAAAGCGUCCGCAGGUGGCAAUGUAAGUCUGCUGUCAAAGCGUCUGGCUCAACCAGAUAAAGGCAGUGGAAACUACAUAGCUAGAGUAAGGUAGGGGUAGAGGGAGUUCCUGGUGUAGCGGUGAAAUGCGUAGAGAUCAGGAAGAACACCGGUGGCGAAAGCGCUCUGCUGGACCUUAACUGACACUGAGGGACGAAAGCUAGGGGAGCGAAUGGG